GAUGAACGCUGGCGGCGUGCCUAAUACAUGCAAGUCGAGCGAACAGAUAAGGAGCUUGCUCCUUUGACGUUAGCGGCGGACGGGUGAGUAACACGUGGGUAACCUACCUAUAAGACUGGGAUAACUUCGGGAAACCGGAGCUAAUACCGGAUAAUAUUUCGAACCGCAUGGUUCGAUAGUGGAAGAUGGUUUUGCUAUCACUUAUAGAUGGACCCGCGCCGUAUUAGCUAGUUGGUAAGGUAACGGCUUACCAAGGCGACGAUACGUAGCCGACCUGAGAGGGUGAUCGGCCACACUGGAACUGAGACACGGUCCAGACUCCUACGGGAGGCAGCAGUAGGGAAUCUUCCGCAAUGGGCGAAAGCCUGACGGAGCUACGCCGCGUGAGUGAUGAAGGUCUUCGGAUCGUAAAACUCUGUUAUUAGGGAAGAACAUACGUGUAAGUAACUGUGCACGUCUUGACGGUACCUAAUCAGAAAGCCACGGCUAACUACAUG
rnacentral:rRNA from 1 species